rnacentral:rRNA from 1 species
AGCAUAUCAAUAAGCGGAGGAAAAGAAACCAACAGGGAUUGCCUCAGUAACGGCGAGUGAAGCGGCAACAGCUCAAAUUUGAAAUCUGGCCGCAAGGUCCGAGUUGUAAUUUGUAGAGGAUGCUUUUGGCGAGGUGCCUUCCGAGUUCCCUGGAACGGGACGCCAUAGAGGGUGAGAGCCCCGUACGGUCGUGCCACCGAGCCUCUGUAAAGCUCCUUCGACGAGUCGAGUAGUUUGGGAAUGCUGCUCUAAAUGGGAGGUGUACGUCUUCUAAAGCUAAAUACCGGCCAGAGACCGAUAGCGCACAAGUAGAGUGAUCGAAAGAUGAAAAGCACUUUGAAAAGAGGGUUAAAAAGUACGUGAAAUUGUUGAAAGGGAAGCAUUCAUGACCAGACUUGGGCUUGGUUGAACAUCCGGCGUUCUCGCCGGUGCACUCUGCCAGCUCAGGCCAGCAUCAGUUUGCCCCGGGGGAUAAAGGCGGCGGGAAUGUGGCUCCCCUCGGGGAGUGUUAUAGCCCGUCGUGUAAUGCCCUGGGGCGGACUGAGGUUCGCGCUUCGGCACGGAUGCUGGCGUAAUGGUCAUCAAUGACCCGUCUUGAAACACGGACCAAGGAGUCGUCUUCGUAUGCGAGUGUUCGGGUGUCAAACCCCUACGCGUAAUGAAAGUGAACGUAGGUGAGAGCUUCGGCGCAUCACCGACCGAUCCUGAUGUUCUCGGAUGGAUUUGAGUAAGAGCAUACGGGGCCGGACCCGAAAGAAGGUGAACUAUGCCUGUAUAGGGUGAAGCCAGAGGAAACUCUGGUGGAGGCUCGCAGCGGUUCUGACGUGCAAAUCGAUCGUCAAAUAUGGGGCAUGGGGGGCGAAAGACUAAUCGAACCUUCUAGUAGCUGGUUUCCGCGA